rnacentral:rRNA from 1 species
ACAGAGGUGGCAAGCGUUGUUCGGAUUUAUUGGGCGUAAAGGGUCCGUAGGCGGCCUGAAAAGUUGGAUGUGAAAUCCCACAGCUUAACUGUGGAACUGCAUUCAAAACUUUCAGGCUCGAGUGUGAUAGGGGUAAAGGGAAUUCCCGGUGUACGAGUGAAAUCUGCAGAAAUCGGGAGGAGCACCAGUGGCGAAGGCAGAAUACUAGAUCACUACUGACGCUGAGGGACAGAAGCCAGGGGAACAAACGG